GAUGAACGCUAGCUACAGGCUUAACACAUGCAAGUCGAGGGGAAACGACAUCGAAAGCUUGCUUUUGAUGGGCGUCGACCGGCGCACGGGUGAGUAACGCGUAUCCAACCUGCCCAUCACUUGGGAAUAACCUUGCGAAAGUAAGACUAAUACCCAAUGACAUCCCACGAAGACAUCUGAAUGGGAUUAAAGAUUUAUCGGUGAUGGAUGGGGAUGCGUCUGAUUAGCUUGUUGGCGGGGUAACGGCCCGCCAAGGCAACGAUCAGUAGGGGUUCUGAGAGGAAGGUCCCCCACAUUGGAACUGAGACACGGUCCAAACUCCUACGGGAGGCAGCAGUGAGGAAUAUUGGUCAAUGGGAGAGAGCCUGAGCCAGCCAAGUAGCGUGCAGGAUGACGGCCCUAUGGGUUGUAACCUGCUUUUAUAAGGGAAUAAAGUGGGUCUCGUGAGACUUUUUGCAUGUACCUUAUGAAUAAGGACCGGCUAAUUCCGUG
rnacentral:rRNA from 1 species